GGAUGAAGUAAAAACUUCAUGCCGGACAGAGUUAUUGAAUUCUGACUCCCGAAUUGUCUUGCAGAAGCGCUGCGAUUCACAGUGGUUUUGGAAGACUGCAGUUUCGCCUGACAGUCCUCCACACUUCUUUUCACUGCAGUCCACUGGCUGAGCCCGGCUGUCAUCUUCACACCAGAGAACUAUAAUUCAUGCGGCUGGCCCCGGAAGGCUGCGGAGCGCGCUUGUGUAAUGAGGUUUCUGGAAGCGCGAUCGCCUUGGGAAGCAGCGGGUUCAGACAUCCUGAGUGAUGUCAUCGCCCGCGGCUCCACCGCUCGCACCGCGCGGACACGCCUCGGCCCGGUGAUUGACAGGUCCCCCCACGGCAGCCGCGAAGGCUCGGAGGCGGAAGCGCCAGACCGUGCGCGAGCUCUUUUCUGCUGUCAUGAACUUGCUAAUUCCAGGAUCUACUUAAAUUCUAUUUUUGAAUAGCUGCCAGUGUUGGAUUUUCUUUGCCAAGAGGGAGGUAGAGAGGGUUGUUCAGAGACCCGCACCUGUUCAGACCUUUCGUAUUUAUCUCAUGAAAAGACAUUAAUCCCCGCAAAUUGAGGGGAAUUUAC